rnacentral:lncRNA from 1 species
CGUAAUGCCACAUCUGACUAGCAGACACACAUGUCGUACGAUUAUGAGGUAAUAUAUUUAGUUUUGCAGCACUAAAUAUACGAAUGUCAAGUCACAGAUUACAGUGUCCACUAGAUAAGAUAGGCCACAUAUCAUGUGAAAGACAUUUGGUCACAAGUGAUGUCAACGCUGUUAUUCCAGUAAUGUUUCAAAUUCAAGAAUAUGACAUAUGGUCACAAUUGAAUAAUGUUUCUUAUUCAAGAAUGAAAACUUUGGUGUUUUUAUCAGGUAUUGGUC